rnacentral:snoRNA from 13 species
AUCAGUGAUGUUACAUCCAGUUCUGCUACUGAGUUGUUGUGAAGAUAAUCUUUCCCCGUCUGAGAU